GACGAACGCUGGCGGCGUGCUUAACACAUGCAAGUCGAACGAAAAGGCCCUGCUCUUGUGGGGUGCUCGAGUGGCGAACGCGUGAGUAACACGUGAGUAACCUGCCCUUGACUUUGGGAUAACUUCAGGAAACUGGGGCUAAUACCGGAUAGGAGCUCCUGCUGCAUGGUGGGGGUUGGAAAGAUUCGGCGGUUGGGGAUGGACUCGCGGCUUAUCAGCUUGUUGGUGGGGUAGUGGCUUACCAAGGCUUUGACGGGUAGCCGGCCUGAGAGGGUGACCGGCGACAUUGGGACUGAGAGACGGCGCAGAAUCCUACGGGAGGCAGCAGUGGGGAAUAUUGCACAAUGGGCGGAAGCCUGAUGCAGCGACGCCGCGUGCGGGAUGACGGCCUUCGGGUUGUAAACCGCUUUCGCCUGUGACGAAGCGUGAGUGACGGUAAUGGGUAAAGAAGCACCGGCUAACUACGUG
rnacentral:rRNA from 1 species